ensembl:snoRNA
AUGAGACAUCUCCGGAAUCGCUGCACCACGGUGAUGACUCCUUCUACCCUGGGUCUCUGAUGGCAGCGGCAGCUCUGG